GCAGCCACGGCAGCGUUAAACAAGACAAGCAGUUCCCAUCUGACUCCUCUCUGCCUGUGUGCUGAGCUGUGCCGCUGCUCCUGGCAGGCUGUGGGCACUCAGGGGCUCUGCAGGAGGAGCUGACACACAUCCAGCCUCAGACAGGUGCUGUAAACCGGCUCCCUGCUCGCCGUGACUACGCAGAGACAAAAGGCUCUGCCUGGGACACAACAACCCUUGGCUCUGGAGCACAGAUGGUGUGCAAGUGCUUUGUGUGACACGAGGUGUUAGAAAGUGCCCAGCUCACUAACAUGUGCUGUCAGGACCUGUUUUCUCCAAGCUGCCAGCCUGUCAUUGUCUUUUGGAAACCAGCAUGAAGCCAGGAAAACCAUUUCCAUCAGAAACAGAAGCUCUGUUUAUACUUCACUUUCAUUUUCUCCUACCAGAGUGUGGACACAAUCCUGAGAUGGUAGGGGUCAGAACUUGUGUAGAUAUAGAUGAGGGCAAGGUUAGAAAGGACAGAAGGCAGAGGGGCCAGCACGAUCUGCUGUGGGAAUAUGCAGCACUCAGGACAUAAUGAUCCACUUGGCUGUGUCUCAUUGAGCAUCCACCAGAUGACCAUCAGGAACUGACAGAGGUAGAGGCCCUUUUGUCUGGUUUUGUUUGGAUGUUGGUGUAACCAUUGCCUCCAUCCUUUUCUCUCAGCGCACUCCUUCAGAUGUAGCAAAACUUGUCUGAAUAAGACUGCAGGAGUGCACAAGAGCUGGGAUAAUUUUAGGGUUAUCUUAAAAUGCUCAGAAGGAUUUCCAUCUUAAGGGGUGGAUGGAGAGGAAGCUGGCUUUAGUUCUUGUUUGACAUCUUGCACCUUUGUUCCCAGGUAAAAAAUUUUAAGUAUCAGAACAUCUAGGCAGCACCAGAAUACCUCAGGGAUUUUAUUUGGCUUUUUAAACAAAUAAGAAAUCUUUCUUCACAAGCUCAAGCUCUUUUUCAUGCAUGCCUUACCCCUGCAGUCUAUCCUUUUCCCAUUCUGUUAUUUUUCAGCUUCUGCAUCUUCACAUUUUCAUCUUCAUCUCAACACAGCUCUUUACAUUCAGCUCAUCUCCAAUUGCAUUCCCUAUUUCUCCUCUGGUCCUCUAAUGC